rnacentral:sRNA from 1 species
UGACAGAUCAUCAGGCAUUAAAAGCGGACCAUAUCAGGCGGGCGGAACAGCAAAAAUCAUCACUGCAACAACAGGCAGGCAUUGCCAUUGCCCCGCUACAGGAUGCUGUUGACCUCGACAUAGUGACCGACGAAGAGAAAGCUGCACUCCUUGCGUGAAAGAAAUACCGUGUCCUGCUCAACCGGGUUGAUUGCUCGAC